GCGUGAAUGAAGAAGGCCUUCGGGUUGUAAAAUUCUGUCUUCAGGAAAGAAGAAAGUGACGGUACCUGAGGAGGAAGCCCCGGCUAACUACGUGCCAGCAGCCGCGGUAAAACGUAGGGGGCGAGCGUUGUCCGGAAUUACUGGGCGUAAAGGGCGCGUAGGCGGUUCCUUAAGUCUCGAGGUGAAAACUAUCGGCUUAACCGGUAGCCUGCCUGAGAAACUGGGGGACUUGAGGGCAGGAGAGGGGAGUGGAAUUCCCAGUGUAGCGGUGAAAUGCGUAGAUAUUGGGAGGAACACCGGUGGCGAAGGCGGCUCUCUGGCCUGUUGCUGACGCUGAGGCGCGAAAGCGUGGGGAGCGAACGGGAUUAGAUACCCCGGUAGUCCACGCCGUAAACGAUGGGUGCUAGGUGUAGGAGGUAUCGACCCCUUCUGUGCCGUAGUUAACACAAUAAGCACCCCGCCUGGGGAGUACGGCCGCAAGGCUGAAACUCAAAGGAAUUGACGGGGGCCCGCACAAGCGGUGAGCAUGUGGUUUAAUUCGACGCAACGCGAAGAACCUUACCAGGGUUUGACAUCCCCUGACAGCGCAUGAAAGUGCGUUUUCCAGCUUCGGUUGGACAGGGAGACAGGUGGUGCAUGGUUG
rnacentral:rRNA from 1 species